rnacentral:rRNA from 1 species
UGCUAAAAGUUUUUUUUGAGCCUAAUCUCUCUUAAAAACUGACCUUUCAGAAUUAUAUUAUCUGCGAGAAGGGUGGAACGGAAUGGGGCAUGGGGGUAGAGACAGAGAGGGGGAGAAGGAGCAAUUCUUUUUUUUUUUUUUCUUUUCUGUCCUUCCAGGCUCUGAUUCGUACUUCCCUUUCCUUUCAAAGAUAGUUAUCUGGUUGAUCCUGCCAGUAGUCAUA